rfam:Ciona savignyi cont_30891, whole genome shotgun sequence.
GGGGAUGUAGCUCAGUGGUAGAGCGCACGCUUUGCAUGUGUGAGGCACCGGGUUCAAUCCCCGGCAUCUCCA